GUGUUUUUAAUGAUAAAACUAAACAAAACCUUUCUUGGGUACUGUACGGCUAAUUGAGGAUAACAGUACGGCAUAUUGCUAGAUUGCGCAUAUCAAAGUGUACGGCAUUUUGAUUAUUUCAUUAACUUGUCUCUUUUUUAACAGAUUUUUUUCAUUUGAUUUCAGAUAUUAGGACUAUUUGCCUGCUUCUAUUGCAAAGCAACAGCGUCCUCCUGUGAGGAUAUCGUCACCCAAAUGUUAUUUCAUAAUACAUAAGUAAUAAUCGAAGAAAAAAUGUGUUACACACCUUCAAUUUUCGUAUUAUACCAAACAUUUGCCAAGAGCAAGCUAUAGGGAAUUUAUUUCAAUAAUAUAAACUAUGAUAAGGGGAAAAUUGAUAUACUUUAAGGCCUACCCAAAUUUCUUGAGUGAAAUCAUUCCUAGGGACCAAUUAUUUAAUUCAGAAGAAAUGACGAAAAGAACAUGCAGCAAGGAGAAAAUUAACGUUGAUGCCCUAGACGCAGCAGCCCAUAGCUACGAAGCUGCGCCAGUACGACAGCAUCAUAAAUGUGAUCAAAGCAAAAUAUUGACAUAGAAAAAAUAUUAAAUUGAGAAAUUUCAGCGUUUCUGUUAAAUUCACAACUAAAACGAAAAA